UACGAAGGGGGCUAGCGUUGCUCGGAAUCACUGGGCGUAAAGGGUGCGUAGGCGGAUUUCUAAGUCAGGGGUGAAAGCCUGAGGCUCAACCUCAGAACUGCCUUUGAUACUGGAAGUCUUGAGACCGGAAGAGGUAAGUGGAACUGCGAGUGUAGAGGUGAGAUUCGUAGAUAUUCGCAAGAACACCAGUGGCGAAGGCGGCUUACUGGUCCGGUUCUGACGCUGAGGCACGAAAGCGUGGGGAGCAAACAGG
rnacentral:rRNA from 1 species